rnacentral:rRNA from 1 species
AGCGGUGGAGCAUGUGGUUUAAUUCGAUGCAACGCGAAGAACCUUACCUACUCUUGACAUCCAGAGAAUUUAGCAGAGAUGCUUUAGUGCCUUCGGGAACUCUGAGACAGGUGCUGCAUGGCUGUCGUCAGCUCGUGUUGUGAAAUGUUGGGUUAAGUCCCGCAACGAGCGCAACCCUUAUCCUUUGUUGCCAGCGAUUCGGUCGGGAACUCAAAGGAGACUGCCGGUGAUAAACCGGAGGAAGGUGGGGAUGACGUCAAGUCAUCAUGGCCCUUACGAGUAGGGCUACACACGUGCUACAAUGGCGUAUACAAAGAGAAGCGACCUCGCGAGAGCAAGCGGAACUCAUAAAGUACGUCGUAGUCCGGAUUGGAGUCUGCAACUUGACUC